AGAUUGAACGCUGGCGGCAUGCUUUACACAUGCAAGUCGAACGGCAGCGCGGGGCAACCUGGCGGCGAGUGGCGAACGGGUGAGUAAUAUAUCGGAACGUACCCAAGAGUGGGGGAUAACGUAGCGAAAGUUACACUAAUACCGCAUACGAUCUAAGGAUGAAAGCAGGGGACCGCAAGGCCUUGUGCUCCUGGAGCCGGCCGAUAUCUGAUUAGCUAGUUGGUAGGGUAAAGGCUACCAAGGCUACGAUCAGUAGCUGGUCUGAGAGGACGACCAGCCACACUGAACUGACGACACGGUCCAGACUCCUACGGGAGGCAGCAGGUGGGUAAUUUUGGACAAGUGGGCGCAAGCCUGAUCCAGCAAUGCCGCGUGAGUGAAGAACGCCGUUACGGUGUAAGCUUCGUUUGUUCGAGGAGAAACGGUGAGGACUUAAGUA
rnacentral:rRNA from 1 species